rnacentral:ncRNA from 1 species
UAUAUAAAUAUAUAAUAAUAUAUUAAUAGAAUAUAACCUCGUAGUAUAAACUCCCACUAUUAUAUGAAUAAUGAUCAUAUAUAUAGAGUAGUCCUGACUAAGAUCCGUGCCAGCAGUCGCGGUUAGACGGAGAGGGCUAGCGUUAAUCAAGAUGGCUUAAAGAGACCGUAGAGUUGAUUAUUAAAUAAUAAUCUAGAGUAUAUAGAUUAAGAUAAGAGACAUAGUAGUUAAGCGAUAAAAUGACUUUAAACUACGCUAUAUGACUGAUCUAAGGUUAAGACACUUAUCUAAUUAUAAUACUGACACUGAGGGUCGAAGGCUAGAGUAGCGAUACGGAUUAGAUACCCGAGUAGUUCUAGCUGUCAACUAUGAAUACUAAAUUAUAUAUUGAUUAUAUAAUUAAACACUAAAUUUAUAGUAUUCCGCCUGACUAGUAUGCACCCAAGUGUGAAAUUCAAGACAAUAGCCGGUUGUGAGCUUCAACAGUGGAGCCUGUUGUUUAAUUCGAUAAUCCACGAUAAAUCUUACCUAUGUUUGAAUAUAAUUUAUAAAUUAUACAAGUGCUACAUCGCUGUUGUCAGCUCGUGCUGUGAGGUCUUAGUUUUAGUACACUAACGAGCGCAAACCUAUGUAUUAUAUUAAUAAUACACUCUAUCAUACAUCGAUAGACUUUAUAGGAUGACAACAAGUCCACAUGGCCUCUAUACAUAGGGCUACAGACGUGCUACAAUCUAUUGAUUAAUAAUAAAUAACUUAGUAAUAAUUAAUUAAUAUUUUAAAUCAAUAGAAUCUUGAAAUAUUGUUUAUAUUUCUUGAAUAUACGGAUAAUAGUCUGUAACUCGACUAUUUGAAGCUGGAAUUGUUAGUAAUCACUGAUCAUCAUGCAGUGUUGAAUACCUCACUCACUUCGGACUAAUCACUCGUCACGUUACCAAAGUUAGAACACUACGUAUUAAUAUGUUAUUUGACUAUUAAGAGUAUAGACCGACGAUGGUGACGAAGUCGAAAUACAGUGACUGUUGGGGAACCAGUAGUUGGAUGUCCUAGUCU